rnacentral:lncRNA from 10 species
UGCUGGAGGUGAGGGGAUAUGGCAUUAGAGGACACAUGGAGCAGAGAGUACGUGAGGAGAAUGAAAAUGAUCAAAAUUUGGCAAAAUGGGAAGCAAGACGCAAUUUGCAAACAGGGAAAUCAAACAGUGCCACAUCAAAAUAAGAGGGAAGGAAAUCCAGCAGCUAAGCAGGCCACACAGUUCCCAGAUAGAGGUAAACUUCUUUUCUGGCCGAAGCCCUGGUUACGGGAAACAGUGUCUUCUGAAACGACCAGGUGUGGGGAAAGCGUCAGCAUGACUAGACAUACCUGGCUCACCUGUUGAACAAGCCCCAGUGAACCAGAUUCAGGAAUAUCAGCAGGGAGAGGAGCUUCUGGGGAAAAUCCCAACAUGCAGGGCAUAAGCUGCUUUCUGUCUCCUACAGUUUUGUGCAAAGUACAAUGCGUGAAUAACAGAGAGUAGGAAGGACAAUGAAAACAGCACGAGAGAUGAAGCGACUGAAUGUCAUCGGAAUUGUGCCCAUUUCUCCAAGCUUUUGGGCUGAUGUGCACCAAGCACAGUGCCUGACGAAGUACACACUCAGUGACUAGUGAAUGGAUGACUGAAUGAAAGAGUGAAGAAGUGAGACUUCCCAACAACUCCAUACAGAACUGGACCAACUGCUUCCACAGCUCAUCUUGGUCAAGUCUGAUUCCCAUAGGUGGCAUGACCGAUGGAGAUGCCCCUGGCAUCAAUGCCUCCUCUUUCCCUUUGGUCCAGGUCACACCUUCAAUUCAAGGUUCCUAAAUGCUGAUAUUAUUUUACUGUUACAAAAUUUAGGAGAAUAUGAAAAAAAUACAUUUUCUUCAUAAUAUUAUAGAUUAAUUUCCUCAAUUUUAUGCCACUAUGGUGGCCUGAUCUUAAAUUUUCCAUACAGGUCUACUUGAAAAUUUACUCUAGGGUUCUUUUGUGAUCUCACUCAACCUGCCAGACCAUCCUAGCUCUACAGUUUGCACCCCCAACAUCAUACUCUGAAACCCUCUCAUCCUUGCGCUAGCUUUAUUUGUAGUCAGAGUAGUUUGUGGUCUAUAUUUCAGCGCAAGGAAAACUCUACUAUCCAUUUUCUAAGGCACAAGUUGAUCUUAUGCUUAAGAGUCCAGCACAAAGACGAAUUUCUCUGCAUUGACUUUCCCUUUUCAUGAGCUCUUCAAUAAAAUGGGUUAACAAAUGAAGCCGUUACUUUCAAUUAAUAUUUAUUCAAAACAGAAUGAUCUCUAUGUGACUAGCUGCACCUGGGAAGGAAGGUUAACAUAAGGGCAUUUAUAUUAAAAGUCAGGAGUGGAGUCCUGAAGGGUCAAUGUGAGAGCAACAAGGUUGACCUCACCAUUUCCCCAGUUGGUAACCCUACAUAAGAUAUAGGUAUUAGGCAGUACACAGUGUGAUUCCUGGUGUUUUUUUUUAAAAAAGUUCAUCUUGCUAUUUAGAGGCAAAGACAUG